UUGUACACACCGCCCGUCGCUACUACCGAUUGAAUGGCUCAGUGAGGCUCCGGACUGGCCCAGAGAGGUGGGCAACUACCACUCAGGGCCGGAAAGUUGUCCAAACUCGGUCAUUUAGAGGAAGUAAAAGUCGUAACAAGGUCUCCGUUGGUGAACCAGCGGAGGGAUCAUUA
rnacentral:rRNA from 1 species